rnacentral:rRNA from 1 species
AUUGAACGCUGGCGGCAGGCCUAACACAUGCAAGUCGAACGAGUGGCGGACGGGUGAGUAAUGUCUGGGAAACUGCCUGAUGGAGGGGGGAAACUACUGGAAACGGUAGCUAAUACCGCAUACCAUCGGAUGUGCCUAGAUGGGAUUAGCUAGUAGGUGGGUUAAAAGCUCACCAAGGCGACGAUCCCUAGCUGGUCUGAUGGGAUGACCAGCCACACUGUAACUGAGCCACGGUCCAGACUCCUAAGGGAGGCAGCAGUGGGGAAUAUUGCACAAUGGGCGCAAGCCUGAUGCAGCCAUGCCGCGUGUAUGAAGAAGGCCUUCGGGUUGUAAAGUACUUUCAGCGGGGCGGCGUUACCCGCAGAAGAAGCACCGGCUAACUCCGUGCCAGCAGCCGCGGUAAUAC